rnacentral:lncRNA from 1 species
CCUCCCUGGCUCUCCGGCAGGUGCGGAGCCCGCUGCCGCCAGGUAAGGCGCUGGCAUCCACCUCCCACAUAAGCCAUCGGGUUGGAGCCUUGGGUGACCUGGUCCGACCUGGCAGGAGCCAAGCAGGACUGCACUCCUAAAAUAUAAUGAUGUUAUAAGGUGCUGUCUUUGGUAAAAAGAAUGAAGAGGUCACUCUUCUGCUCAGACUUCCUCCUAUGAACAUUUAAUCAAGGUAUCUAUGGUGGACAGAACCUGGCCUGAGAGCAAGACUAGUCUUGGAGCUCCCUGAAGGGCUGAGCAUCUUAAAGCUGAUCUGUAGCUCACAGCUAUGGAUGACAAAACCAUUCUGAGAUGUGCAGUCUAACUGCUCUUUGCCCCUACUGUGAAUUCUGAACAACAUUUCAAAAGUACUUUGGUGCACCUCUCCCUCACAGGGAAAUCAAAACACAGGAGUGGCAGAAUGGAUCUUGCAGACAAGUCUUUCAUCGCCCGUUGGCAUCUCAGCUGUGGGCACUGUCUGGGGAUGGAUCUCGUACCUCAGUGGUUCAGCGGCAGAAACGGGAAGAGGAGCUUUGAGGAGGAAGCCUGAAUUCAUGAGGGUCCUGGGGAGCACCAGAGGAUGUAGUGGUGAAGGGAUGAUGGAUCAAGAUGGAGCUCAAGGUAGAUUUGAGGUUCUUCUGCCUGGAGGUCUGUUUGUGAGCCAUGCAAGG